AGAACAAAGGACAGAAUCUUGAAGAACAUUGUCUUUAGAACCUUGUGGUCAAUGGGCCAGCAGCGCUGGUUGUCACCAGGAGGUUUGUUGGAAAGGUGGAAUCUCAGACCUGCUGAAUCGGGUCUUUGAUUUAACAAGAACCCCAAGUGAUUGUAUCACCUUGAAGUUUAAGAAGCUCAGACCUGGACGAGAAAAGCCAACAAAUAAAGAAGGGAUUUCAUCUAGAUAGAGAAGUCAACAAAGAAAGAGAGGAGGAAGUGGGAGGAGAACCAGAGUAACACAGAAUCACCAAAGCAAGAUACACUGGAGUUUCACAAAGACAGGGCCAGGAAGGAGUGUUGAUCACAACAUCCAAAACCACGGAGGUGAAAGAAGCACCAGGAAAGAAGAGCUUUUUGAAUCCUGGAACUCUGUGGGGAGUGAGGGAGACAGAAUUCUAAAUAAUCCAAUCAGUUGGGAGAGGCUCCACGGCAAACCGUGCUAUGGUGUUGGCGCAACAGGU